UACAGAGGGUGCAAGCGUUGUUCGGAAUUACUGGGCGUAAAGCGCGUGUAGGCGGCUUAUCAAGUCCUGUGUGAAAGCCCUGGGCUCAACCCAGGAAGUGCGCAGGAUACUGAUGAGCUGGAGUGGCGGAGAGGAUGGCGGAAUUCCCGGUGUAGAGGUGAAAUUCGUAGAUAUCGGGAGGAACACCUGUGGCGAAGGCGGCCAUCUGGACGUUCACUGACGCUGAGACGCGAAAGCGUGGGUAGCAAACAGGAUUAGAUACCCUGGUAGUCCACGCUGUAAACGAUGGAUGCUAGAUGUCACGGGUAUUGACCCCUGUGGUGUCGACGCUAACGCAUUAAGCAUCCCGCCUGGGGAGUACGGCCGCAAGGUUAAA
rnacentral:rRNA from 1 species